rnacentral:lncRNA from 1 species
CUCCUAAACUCAAAUGAUCCUCCUGCCUUGGCCUCCCAAAGUGGGCAUGAGCCACCACGCCCAGUCAUGAAAAUCAGUCCAAGAGGUCUAGCACUUCUUGCGUAGCACUUCAGAAUACAAUAGGUCAUGAUCACUUUAAUCAGAUAGGGCCAAUGGAGAUAUGCAGACCCUAGUUCCAGGCCCACUCAAUGAGACAUGAUAAAUACUGAGAGGGGUAUAGGGGGGUUGGGGUCACUGAGCCUGUGCUGUGUUGACAAGAGAAGUUCAAUGUGGCAGUCAAACUUAGCAUCCAAAGUGGGCCACCAUCUCUAGAUGGCGUCUACACGGUCAGCAAAAGGGGCCGUAAGAUUUAGUUGUUGCAAAUGGUGACAGAAAGGAGCAUCCAAGGCAUCUGGCAUUCGGAAAU